UACGGAGGGUGCGAGCGUUACCCGGAAUCACUGGGCGUAAAGGGCGUGUAGGCGGGAACAUAAGUCUGACUUCAAAGGCUGCGGCUCAACCGCAGUAGGGGGUUGGAUACUGUGUUUCUAGACCUCUGGAGAGGCAACUGGAAUUCUUGGUGUAGCGGUGGAAUGCGUAGAUACCAAGAGGAACACCGAUGGCGAAGGCAGGUUGCUGGACAGAAGGUGACGCUGAGGCGCGAAAGUGUGGGGAGCGAACCGG
rnacentral:rRNA from 1 species